AUGUCACACAAUUUUAUUAUUAAGGUUAAUUUCAUACAUAUUUCUGCAAACAUAGUGAAUUAUAUAUAUAUUUCUGCAAAGUUCAUAUUUUAUAAGUUAUUCUUACAAAAAUCCUAAUGUACUCAGAUAUGUCCCUAUGGUUAGGAUCCGUUAGAGAACUAUUUAUUUUUUAAUAGUAGACUCGUGAAAUAAUAUUUUUGCCCUCACAAAUAUGUCUCUUCAAAAACCCUUUCAAUUUUUGUCAUUUUCCUCUUUCUCUUUCUUCUCGGGCUGCGAGAGCGGGUGAGCGGUUGUCCGGCAACGUCGCGAAGCUUGUCAGAGUUGUGGCUGAUGAGGAUAAGGUUGAGGCCCGCAUCGGCGAGGCAGAAGGCGAAGGUGCGACCGAUUUGGAAGCGUUGGUGACGACGGCCCAUGCGAGCGCGACGAUCAGAUUAUCGAUGAAGACGAAGAAAAAAGAGGAGAAAAGGAGGAGGAAAAGGAGGAUACGAAGAAGAAGAGGAAGAAGAAAAAGCAUAAAAGGAAGAGAAAGAGGAAGAAGAAGAAGGGCAAAAUUAUCAAUUCACCUUAUUAAUUAACCAUGAUUAAGUAUCUUAACCAUGGUUAACUAAAUUUUUUUGGAAAAACUUCAAAAACCCCCCCUGUGGUUUCAUGCAUUCUCACUUUCAUACCCUGUGGUUUAAAACGUAUCAAUUUGCCCCCCUGUGGUUUCAUUUUUCUCUUUUUAUUAUCAAUUUUAUUAUUUUUUUUUUCUUAAAUCAGUGACAAAAUUAAAAUUAAAGGAUACUAAAGUGAAUAUUCGAUAAACAUAGAUGGUUAUCUGAAGUUUUUUGUAUAUAAUUUANUUAAAGGAUACUAAAGUGAAUAUUCGAUAAACAUAGAUGGUUAUCUGAAGUUUUUUGUAUAUAAUUUAACGAAAUAUUAACGAAAAAGCUUCUGAAAAGAUAAAAACGAAACCACAGAGGGGCAAAUUGAUACGUUUUAAACCACAGGGUACUAAAGUGAGAAUGCAUGAAACCACAAGAGGGGUUUUUGAAGUUUUCCUAAUUUUUUUAAUAGAACCUAACGACAGAGACACAUCUAAAUACUUAGGACUUUUGUAGGGAUAACUUAUGAAAGUUGAACUUUGCAGGAAUAUAUCUGUAAUUUAUCAUAUUUGCAGGAAUCUGUAUGCAAUUAAACCAUUUAUUAAAAGUAAAAUGCAUGU
rnacentral:lncRNA from 1 species